rnacentral:rRNA from 1 species
UACGGGGGGAGCAAGCGUUGUCCGGAUUUAUUGGGCGUAAAGAGCUUGUAGGCGGUUUGUCGCGUCUGCUGUGAAAUUUCGGGGCCUCCAACCCCGAACUUGCAGUGGGUACGGGCAGACUAGAGUGUGGUAGGGGAGACUGGAAUUCCUGGUGUAGCGGUGAAAUGCGCAGAUAUCAGGAGGAACACCGAUGGCGAAGGCAGGUCUCUGGGCCAUAACUGACGCUGAGAAGCGAAAGCAUGGGGAGCGAACAGG